AUUGAGUGGGAAUAAAGAUAUAACAUUGUUUAAAGUGAAAUUACUGUUCUAACAACGUUUUAGCUAUUAUGUAAUGGCUGAAAACAAUUAAAUAUUAACUUGUUUACCACCAAAAACCCCACCAAUACAACAAGUAUUGGUGGGGUUUUUAG
rnacentral:sRNA from 23 species